rnacentral:tRNA from 1 species
AAAUAAGAAGCAAAAUUUGCAUUCAGUUUCGACCUGACGUUUAGAUGAAUUUUUUUUCUUUCAUCCUUAUUUA